rfam:Schistosoma haematobium scaffold429_33, whole genome shotgun sequence.
AUCCAGUUGACGAGUCUCAAAUAGGACGAAACAUGUGUCUUGGAU